GAGCCAAUCACUCAGAGGUCUUGUUAAAAUGCAGAUUCUGACACAGGAGGUCUAGGCCCUAAGAUUCUGCAGGUCUAGCAAGCUCUCAGGUGACUCCAAU
rnacentral:pre_miRNA from 1 species